AGGGGGGGGGGGGGGGGAGAAGAGGAAGGGGUCAGGAUCCUAAUAAAUCACCUUCUUUAAAUCCACUGAAAAUCCACUUUCUUUAGAUUCUUAUUAUUUGUUUGGUUUGGUUGUAACUUUAAAUGUUUGCUUCCUUUUAAGAUUCCCUUCCUUCUCGACCCUUGCUUUGUGUCUGUCUGUCUGCCUGUCUGUGUGUGUGUGUGUCUGUCUGUCUGUCUGUCUGUCUGUCUGUCUGUCUGUCUGUCUGUCUGUCUGUCUGUUUUGUAUUAUUGUUUUACACGUUCAAAAUAAAUCAAAUCAAAUCUAAAAUUCUAAACUGUUUGAUUGGUUCAAACCGAUCAUGUGACUGCUUUUAGUCUUCAUUCAUCAUUGUGUGUAAUCUUUUAUAUCUCAGGUGUGUCUAUAGUGAUGGAAGCAGCAUUACACCUGGAGGAGGGGCAGUUCAAACCCCUGUGAGACUGACCAAUCAGGAAUGGACUAGUGGGCAUGUGACCUCAGCAGACAGGAAUUAGGGAACAGGAUGGAAUGCAAAUCUGUCUUUCAGAAGAAAGCGAGGCAGAGUGGAAGAAGAAAGGGAGGAAAGCGCCACCUCAUCAUUCCCCGGGUCGACCUCCAGAGACGUCACACACACACACACACACACACACACACACACACACACACGGAUACACACAUUUAGAUUUUCUUGUUCAAUAUUCUUGUAUAAGACGAGACAAUGCAAAGACGUACACUUACGGACCCAAAGCUACGGAACAAAAAUAGACACCAAUAGUUUUUUGUUCCCGUUGUUUCAACACUUUUCCUCUUUCAUGCAUUUUGCUGUUUACGACCACUCCCUAACAAACUCAUCAGGAUUCCCUCUCAGCACACGGUCCUCUCUCCAACGGACAGCAGUAACUUCCUCACAGUGACAUCAUGUAAUCAGAUUACUGUUCAAUGUCUCAGAAUGGUGGAUAAAGGAUUCCGGUGUUAGGAGAAACCUAAGAAGAGCAUAUUGCUGUAAAGGAUCAGAUGUUAUCUCUUCUCUGUAAACGUGUCUGCUCUGUGGGCUCAUACUUUAAGUGAGGAUCUAAACGCCUGAAUCUGCUUUGUGAAUGUUUAUUUUAUUUAUGAUCAUUUUCUUUAGAAAGUUCUCAGAAUCAGAUUUAUUUAUGUUUUUCAAAAAUUCGCAAUUUUUUUUUCAUAAUCCUGAUUUGCUCCAAACAAUUCAGACUUAUUUCCCCCCAAACAUGUACAUUCCUAACUCCUUUCAUAAUUCUCACUUUCUAUCAAACAUCUAAAUGUCUUAAAAAAUGUCUUAGAACAGUUUUUAAUUCAGCAGGUGAAUCUAUAUGUUCAUAUAAAAGUGUGUGUGAGCUUAACUGUGUAUUAAACCAUUUUCUGUCAG